rnacentral:rRNA from 1 species
GACGAACGCUGGCGGCAUGCCUAACACAUGCAAGUCGAACGAGAUCUUCGGGUCUAGUGGCGCACGGGUGUGUAACGCGUGGGAAUCUGCCCUUUGGUUCGGAAUAACAGUUGGAAACGACUGCUAAUACCGGAUGAUGACGAAAGUCCAAAGAUUUAUCGCCAGAGGAUGAGCCCGCGUAGGAUUAGCUAGUUGGUGUGGUAAAGGCGCACCAAGGCGACGAUCCUUAGCUGGUCUGAGAGGAUGAUCAGCCACACUGGGACUGAGACACGGCCCAGACUCCUACGGGAGGCAGCAGUGGGGAAUAUUGGACAAUGGGCGAAAGCCUGAUCCAGCAAUGCCGCGUGAGUGAUGAAGGCCUUAGGGUUGUAAAGCUCUUUUACCCGGGAUGAUAAUGACAGUACCGGGAGAAUAAGCUCCGGCUAACUCCGUGCCAGCCGCCGCGGUAA